rnacentral:rRNA from 1 species
AAAGCAGUAAUGCGCUUCGGGAGGGGCCUGCGUCCCAUUAGCUAGUUGGUAGGGUAAAAGCCUACCAAGGCGACGAUGGGUAGCUGGAUCGAGAGGUUGACCAGCCACACUGGGACUGAGAUACGGCCCAGACUCCUACGGGAGGCAGCAGUAAGGAAUCUUCCACAAUGGACGAAAGUCUGAUGGAGCAACACCGCGUGCAGGAUGACGGCCUUAGGGUUGUAAACUGCUUUUAUAGAUGAAGAUUAUGACGGUAAUCUAUGAAUAAGGACCGGCUAACUACGUG